CAAGUCGAGCGAUGAAGCACCUUCGGGUGUGAAUUAGCGGCGAACGGGUGAGGAACAAGUGAGAAAUCUGCCUUCAACACUGGGAUAACUCCGGGAAACCGGGGCUAAUACCGGAUAUGAAACCUGCGGGCAUCCGCGGGUUUGGAAAGUUUUUCGGUUGAAGAUGAUCUCGCGGCCUAUCAGCUUGUUGGUGAGGUAAUGGCUCACCAAGGCGACGACGGGUAGCCGGCCUGAGAGGGCGACCGGCCACACUGGGACUGAGACACGGCCCAGACUCCUACGGGAGGCAGCAGUGGGGAAUAUUGGGCAAUGGAGGAAACUCUGACCCAGCGACGCCGCGUGCGGGAUGAAGGCCUUCGGGUUGUAAACCGCUUUCAGCAGGGAAGAAGCGAAAGUGACGGUACCUGCAGAAGAAGCACCGGCUAACUAUGUGCCAGCAGCCGCGGUAAUACAUAGGGUGCAAGCGUUGUCCGGGAUUAUUGGGCGUAAAGAGCUCGUAGGUGGUUCGUCACGUCGGAUGUGAAACUCUGGGGCUUAACCCCAGACCUGCAUUCGAUACGGGCGAGCUUGAGUAUGGUAGGGGAGUCUGGAAUUCCUGGUGUAGCGGUGGAAUGCGCAGAUAUCAGGAGGAACACCAAUGGCGAAGGCAGGACUCUGGGCCAUUACUGACACUGAGGAGCGAAAGCGUGGGGAGCGAACAGGAUUAGAUACCCUGGUAGUCCACGCCGUAAACGGUGGGCACUAGUUGUGGGGACCUUCCACGGUCUCUGCGACGCAGCUAACGCAUUAAGUGCCCCGCCGUGGGGGAGUACGAUCGCAAGAUUAAAACUCAAAGGAAUUUGACGGGGGCCCCGCACAAGCAGCGGAGCAUGCGGCUUAAUUCCGACGCAACGCGAAGAACCUUUACCAAGGCUUUGACAUAUACAGGAAAUAUGGCAGAUAUGUCAUAGCCGGCAAGGGUCUGUAUUACAGGGUGGGUGCAAUGGGUUGUCGGUCAGCCUCGUGUCGUGAGGA
rnacentral:rRNA from 1 species